rnacentral:lncRNA from 1 species
GUCGUAUUUUCCUUUCUUCACAGCAGAUAAUUGGGUUACCCAUGUCAGAAACCGAAGAGUGUAUACUGCAUAGAAGUGAAGAUUUGCUUGAUAAUUGCAUUAGUUGAGGUUAUUUUCUCCCGGGUUGUUUUUCGGUUGUCUCCGAUUACAGGUCAGAAGCUGCUUUUGUAUGGCAAUUUUAGUUUAACAUAUAUGAUUUCUGGGAGCUGUUUUUAUUCAGCAUUCUGCUGAGUUUUUGGUUGCUUGCCCAGUUCGGUCUUUUUCGUUGGUUUUAUCUGGUGUUUUGAGGUGUCAUCUUCCCAGUUGUUCUACCGAUAUGGAUGGUGGGGUGAUUAAUUUUUGGGGCCUGAAACUGUUUACCUUUGUUCCAGCUAAUAAUCUCACCAAUAGCCAGUUCACAGCUUCUUGUUUUGAUUGGUUUAAUCGGAUGAGGUUGCUUUGGGCUUGUGGGUAUUUUGCUUGGUUUAAUGCGGAUGAGGUGGUUUUUUUUAUUUUGGCUGAGGUUUUUUUUGGUCCAGGCCAAACGUGAUUCAGAAGCCCAGUGGGGUCUUAAAAGCCCAAGUAUUAUUUUCUGCUAUGUUUUUUUGUCGUUGGAAGGGAGCCAAUUUUUUAUUUCUUGUCUUCUGUUAAAUUGGGCCAGUUUGAAGGCCCUUUAGACCGGUGUGGUUGAAGGAAGCUGAAGGCCCUUUAGGGGUUGUGGGUUUCUAUUUUUUAGUUUUUUGUUGUUUGUGUUU